GACGAACGCUGGCGGCGUGCCUAAUACAUGCAAGUAGAACGCUGAAGGAGGAGCUUGCUUCUCUGGAUGAGUUGCGAACGGGUGAGUAACGCGUAGGUAACCUGCCUGGUAGCGGGGGAUAACUAUUGGAAACGAUAGCUAAUACCGCAUAAGAGUAGAUGUCGCAUGACAUUUGCUUAAAAGUUGCAAUUGCAUCACUACCAGAUGGACCUGCGUUGUAUUAGCUAGUUGGUGAGGUAACGGCUCACCAAGGCAACGAUACAUAGCCGACCUGAGAGGGUGAUCGGCCACACUGGGACUGAGACACGGCCCAGACUCCUACGGGAGGGAGCAGUAGGGAAUCUUCGGCAAUGGACGGAAGUCUGACCGAGCAACGCCGCGUGAGGGAAGAAGGUUUUCGGAUCGUAAAGCUCUGUUGUAAGAGAAGAACGAGUGUGAGAGUGGAAAGUUCACACUGUGACGGUAGCUUACCAGAAAGGGACGGCUAACUACGUG
rnacentral:rRNA from 1 species